CGGGACGGGUGAGUAAUGUCUGGGAAACUGCCUGAUGGGAGGGGAUACUACUGGAAACGGUAGCUAAUACCGCAUAACGUCGCAAGACCAAAGAGGGGGACCUUCGGGCCUCUUGCCAUCGGAUGUGCCCAGAUGGGAUUAGCUAGUAGGUGGGGUAACGGCUCACCUAGGCGACGAUCCCUAGCUGGUCUGAGAGGAUGACCAGCCACACUGGAACUGAGACACGGUCCAG
rnacentral:rRNA from 1 species